rnacentral:rRNA from 1 species
UACAGAGGUCCCAAGCGUUGUUCGGAAUUACUGGGCGUAAAGGGCUCGUAGGUGGCCAACUAAGUCAGACGUGAAAUCCCCAGGCUCAACCUGGGAACUGCGUCUGAUACUGGAUGGCUUGAGUUCGGGAGAGGGAUGCGGAAUUCCAGGUGUAGCGGUGAAAUGCGUAGAUAUCUGGAGGAACACCGGUGGCGAAGGCGGCAUCCUGGACCGACACUGACGCUGAGGAGCGAAAGCCAGGGGAGCAAACGGG